rnacentral:lncRNA from 1 species
GUCAAUGGUUUUUAAGGUAACCAGUGGCGUAGUAAUAGUAGCCUUAUGGUUGCUAGUGUAUCAAUGGUUUUUAAGGUAACCAGUUACGUAUUAAUAUAGUACCCCUGUGGGGGCUAGUGUGUCAAGGGUUCUUAAGGUAACCAGUUGGGCAAGUAUUUUAGUAGCCUUAUGGUGGCUGGUAUAUCAAUAGUGUUUAUUUAAAGUAACCAGUUGGGCUGUAAUGGUGUAUUUGUAUUGACACAAUAUUAGGUCACUCCCCAGUUAACAAGCAGGGGUAAUUUUGUAGCGUGGUUUUCGGGUGCCUCGGGUUUGGAUCAUGCGAUGGGGCUCUGGUGUCCUCCAGCCAUGAGCCCCAAAUUCUCCAACCUGACUGGUCGUCAGUUCGGAGGUC